CUGUUAUUUCUCACGUUUCUCCUUCUAAAUCCAAGUUUAUGAUUUUUUUCUCGCAAAAACUGCAUAAGAAAUCAUUCUUUUUUUUAUAUGGAAAUUGAUUACGCAUCUGCGUAAAAUUGACAAAUCAGCAUCAUCCAUCACAGUUUCAAAAUGUUUGAUACAUAUUUUUUUAUUUGGGAUUGAGAAUGUUGUUUUCACCUUUCUAUUUGUUUCAUCUCUGAUUUGAUUUUUGGUAUAGUUCGCCCGCAAAUCCCCGUGGCCUCCGCAACUCGUUUUCAAGCCUGCAAAGUUGAAAUACAAUAUUGUUGAAAUUUCACUUAUUGAUUUUUGAAUUCGCAAGAGAAAUGCUUAUUCCAUCUGCCAUUGUUUCCGCUCGCAUAAAUCUUAAUAAGUUGUUCAAAAUUCAAAAUUUACCUGCUUUUACACUGAGAACUCUGUUUUCCAGUUUACUGUUCGAAAGCAUUUUCAAAGACAACAAAUAACUCAUAGUUCACUACAUAGAAUAUUUUGUCCACUCACAUUUUUGAAGAGAGAAAUAUUGACUUCUAUGUGAAUUGAAACUACUCAGUGUUAAAUGAGUGGCGGAAGAGGAUGUUAAAUAAUUCUCCCAAAUUAAUAUUUUCGAAGUUGUAUGAUCCAUUACCAUGACGAAGUAGGAUUUUUUGAAAUCUACUUUCAACUAUUUUCAACAUGUUUGAUUCACGGUGUGAAUCACAGAUAUUCACAGAUAUUGAAUUCGGCUAGGAAAUCGAAGAUUUUGCACACAAAAUGAAACUGAAAUUAUUACUUGUAAAAUUUAAACUGCAAUAAAACUAGUCUAAUUUGCCACAUA